CCCUUUGCUUUCUGUUCAAUUAUCCAGUACAUGAACCGACAAACACACCCCUAAUUUUGCACUUCAUUUCUGUUCAAUUAUGCCGUUAUGAUUGAUAGAAAAAUUCUUAUAGCAGAACUAUUGGAGAAUAAAGAGUAACGGAGAGGUGGAGACAUUUCUUAUAUUUUUCACAAACAUGUUAUGAAGAUAGGAAAAGGCUAUCUUGGAUGUUUGUAUGACCUAAUUUAUUUAUUCCUAUAUAUGGUAAUUUUUGCAGGUAUUCCUAUAUCCUAUGGUAAUUACUUAGGUUCUUCACAGCUCAUAUUUGUUGUCAAUUUUUUAGAAGGACCACCCCGGUUUCAAAUCCUAGAUCCGCCACUGCCGUUGUAGCAAGCAGCCACAAUACAAAGGCAUGUUCAAUGAUCCCGCCACUGUGUGCAUGAAUACCGGAGCAGGUGGUCACUCAAUCUAGUCGAAUAUUGCCACUGUAAAUAACCAAGCACUCAGACAAGCGGUCUCAAUGUUUCUGAUGUCUCUCAAGCCUACUAAGUUGUAGUUGAUAAAAGUUUUGUCUUUUGCUUCAUGUUUUUGCCGCUCCUCUUUCAUUACUUCCUCUGUUUUCAGUAUUAUGUGGUAGCCAACACCAUGCUUGCUUUAUACAACCUCUUAUAGCAUGGUUUCAGUAUCAUGUCACGUGUACAACAAAGUUUAUUAUGUCUCUAUCGGUGAUGGACGUGGCAGCCAGAGCGCAGAGAGAAUGUGGCACACCAGAGAAAACAUAAAGAGAAUACAUGUGACAAAUUUAAUAGUAGC
rnacentral:lncRNA from 1 species